CUGCAGCCCGACUUGAGCGGAAAUCCUUUUUUGCUUGUACUUGAUUUCUUUUUAAUGUGAAAUCGUAGUGCAAAAAAGAUUGGGAGCGGAAGGCGGAUUAAGC
rnacentral:sRNA from 1 species